GAGAGAGACAUGCGCGCAUAUCAAUAAGCGGGAGGAAAAGAAACUAACAAGGGAUUCCCUUAGUAACGGCGAGUGAAGCGGGAAGAGCUCAAAUUUGAAAUCUUCAAGGUUUUACCUUGACGAAUUGUAGUUUAAAGAAGUGUUUUUCUGCUGAAGUUUUGGUAAAAGUUCUUUGGAAUAGGACAUCAUAGAGGGUGAGAAUCCCGUAUUUGACCAUUAUUUUUCAGCUUUGUGAUACACUUUCAAAGAGUCGGAUUGUUUGGGAAUGCAGUCCAAAAUGGGUGGUAAAUUUCAUCUAAAGCUAAAUAUUGGCGAGAGGACCGAUAGCGAACAAGUAUCCGUGAGGGAAAGAUGGAAAAGAACUUUGAAAAGAGAGUUAAACAGUACGUGAAAUUGUCAAAAGGGAAGCGUUUGACACCAGUGUUGUUUUUCUCGAAAAUCAAUUAAAAAAUGGCUCGAUUUUGUAUUGUUGAGACCUUAAAAGCUCACUGUACAUUUUUCGUGUCUUUUUUUAAUGCACUUUUCGUUUAACAAGUCAACAUCAGUUUUCUUUUGAUUGUAAAAGGGUCAUUGGAAGGUGGCUUUCUUUUCGGAGAAAGUGUUUAUAGCCUUUGGCCUCUGCAAUCGGAGAGACUGAGGUCUGCAGCGUAGACUCUUCGGGGUUAGAUACAUUUGUGCUAAGUUAUAGCUUUUUAUAGACAACUUGUUGACUAUAAUUAGUCUUGUAGCUUACUCGCUUAUGCUAUUUUACCUACGCUUAGGAUGUUGAGUCGUAGAGCACGCAG
rnacentral:rRNA from 1 species